rnacentral:rRNA from 1 species
UUAUACCGUAGCUUGCUACACCAUAAACUGUGAGUUGCGAACGGGUGAGUAACGCGUAGGUAACCUGCCUGGUAGCGGGGGAUAACUAUUGGAAACGAUAGCUAAUACCGCAUAAUAUUGAUUAUUGCAUGAUAAUUGAUUGAAAGAUGCUAUUGCAUCACUACCAGAUGGACCUGCGUUGUAUUAGCUAGUAGGUGAGGUAACGGCUCACCUAGGCGACGAUACAUAGCCGACCUGAGAGGGUGAUCGGCCACACUGGGACUGAGACACGGCCCAGACUCCUACGGGAGGCAGCAGUAGGGAAUCUUCGGCAAUGGACGAAAGUCUGACCGAGCAACGCCGCGUGAGUGAAGAAGGUUUUCGGAUCGUAAAGCUCUGUUGUAAGAGAAGAACGGGUGUGAGAGUGGAAAGUUCACACUGUGACGGUAUCUUACCAGAAAGGGACGGCUAACUACGUGCCAGCAGCCGCGGUAAUACGUAGGUCCCGAGCGUUGUCCGGAUUUAUUGGGCGUAAAGCGAGCGCAGGCGGUUAGAUAAGUCUGAAGUUAAAGGCUGUGGCUUAACCAUAGUACGCUUUGGAAACUGUUUAACUUGAGUGCAGAAGGGGAGAGUGGAAUUCCAUGUGUAGCGGUGAAAUGCGUAGAUAUAUGGAGGAACACCGGUGGCGAAAGCGGCUCUCUGGUCUGUAACUGACGCUGAGGCUCGAAAGCGUGGGGAGCGAACAGGAUUAGAUACCCUGGUAGUCCACGCCGUAAACGAUGAGUGCUAGGUGUUAGGCCCUUUCCGGGGCUUAGUGCCGCAGCUAACGCAUUAAGCACUCCGCCUGGGGAGUACGACCGCAAGGUUGAAACUCAAAGGAAUUGACGGGGGCCCGCACAAGCGGUGGAGCAUGUGGUUUAAUUCGAAGCAACGCGAAGAACCUUACCAGGUCUUGACAUCCCGAUGCCCGCUCUAGAGAUAGAGUUUUACUUCGGUACAUCGGUGACAGGUGGUGCAUGGUUGUCGUCAGCUCGUGUCGUGAGAUGUUGGGUUAAGUCCCGCAACGAGCGCAACCCUUAUUGUUAGUUGCCAUCAUUCAGUUGGGCACUCUAGCGAGACUGCCGGUAAUAAACCGGAGGAAGGUGGGGAUGACGUCAAAUCAUCAUGCCCCUUAUGACCUGGGCUACACACGUGCUACAAUGGCUGGUACAACGAGUCGCAAGUCGGUGACGGCAAGCUAAUCUCUUAAAGCCAGUCUCAGUUCGGAUUGUAGGCUGCAACUCGCCUACAUGAAGUCGGAAUCGCUAGUAAUCGCGGAUCAGCACGCCGCGGUGAAUACGUUCCCGGGCCUUGUACACACCGCCCGUCACACCACGAGAGUUUGUAACACCCGAAGUCGGUGAGGUAACCUUUUAGGAGCCAGCCGCCUAAG